CUCCAAGAGGGGCCCAUGUAGUAUUAGCUAGUUGGUGAGGUAACGGCUCACCAAGGCUUCGAUCGGUAACCGGCCUGAGAGGGCGAUCGGUCACACCGGAACUGAGACACGGUCCGGACUCCUACGGGAGGCAGCAGUGGGGAAUCUUGCGCAAUGGGCGAAAGCCUGACGCAGCAACGCCGCGUGGAGGAUGAAGGCCCUUGGGUUGUAAACUCCUGUCGGCUGGGAAGAAAUCGUUCGCGGUUAAUACCCGCGGGCGUUGACUGUACCAGCAAAGGAAGCCCCGGCUAACUCUGUGCCAGCAGCCGCGGUAAUACAGAGGGGGCCAGCGUUAUUCGGAAUUAUUGGGCGUAAAGGGCGCGUAGGCGGCCCUGCGUGUCUUCCGUGAAAUCCCUCGGCUUAACUGAGGACGUGCGGAAGAAACUGCGGGGCUCGAGUCCGGGAGAAGGGGGGUGGAAUUCCCAGUGUAGCGGUGAAAUGUGUAGAGAUCGGGAGGAACACCGGUGGCGAAGGCGGGUCUCUGGGCAUUUCCUGACGCUGAGGCGCGAAAGCGUGGGGAGCAAACGGGAUUAGAUACCCUGGUAGUCCUAGCUGUAAACGAUGGGCACUUGGUGUAGCGGGUAUCGACCCCUGCUGUGCCGAAGCUAACGCAUUAAGUGCCCCGCCUGGGGAGUACGGUCGCAAGGCUGAA
rnacentral:rRNA from 1 species